UAAGCAUAUAAUUAAGCGGAGGAAAAGAAACUAACCAGGAUUCCCUCAGUAAGGGCGACUGAAGCGGGAAGAGCUCAGGAUGUGAAUCUGCGCCUUGGUGCGCCGAAUUGUGGUCUGUUGACGGUGACAUUACUGGCCGGGCCAAGUCCUUUGGAACAAGGCAGCUGAGAGGGUGAGACUCCCGUUCGCCUGGCCAGGUGAGUUACUAGUCUACGAGUCGAGUUGUUUGGGAUUGCAGCUCUAAGUGGGUGGUAAAUUCCAUCUAAAGCUAAAUAUUGGUGGGAGACCGAUAGCGUACAAGUACCGUGAGGGAAAGAUGCAAAGAACUUUGAAAAGAGAGUUAAAGAGUACCUGAAAUUGCUGAAAAGGAAGCGAAGGAAACCAGUGUCGGCUCAGUCAUAUUUCCCUGUCCGCUUGCGGUUUGGGCGCUGUGUCUGGCCUAUGUCGUCUUUGGUUGGGUUUGCUGGAAGAGCGCAGUGAGAGUUGAUCGCUGUUGCUAGCAGUAGGCCUGACUGAGGAGGACGAAAUGGUUUUCUUUACCCCGUCUUG
rnacentral:rRNA from 1 species